rnacentral:rRNA from 1 species
AACGAACGCUGGCGGCAGGCUUAACACAUGCAAGUCGAACGGUUGUAGCAAUACAGCAGUGGCGCACGGGUGAGUAACGCGUGGGAAUAUACCGAGAAGUGGGGAAUAACUCCGGGAAACUGGAGAUAAUACCGCAUACGCCCGAGAGGGGAAAGAUUUAUCGCUUUUCGAUUAGCCCGCGUGAGAUUAGGUAGUUGGUGGGGUAAUGGCCUACCAAGCCGACGAUCUCUAGCUGGUCUGAGAGGAUGAUCAGCCACCCUGGGACUGAGACACGGUCCAGACUCCUACGGGAGGCAGCAGUAGGGAAUAUUGGACAAUGGGCGAAAGCCUGAUCCAGCCAUGCCGCGUGAAUGAUGAAGGCCUUAGGGUUGUAAAGUUCUUUCGCCGAUGAAGAUAAUGACGGUAGUCGGAGAAGAAGCCCCGGCUAACUUCGUGCCAGCCGCCGCUGUAA